CAAGAGAACAGUUUCUUGUGAAUCAAGCAGUACAAUUAAUUGAGCCAGGAUGGAUUGUGGAAGAGUACCCAAGGGGAGAGGACCAAGAUUGGAACCUGGACUGAGGUGUUCUUCUCAGCCACGCCUGGGAAAGGCUUUCACCUUGUUGAUGGUGGAGGGUGGUUCAUAAGGACCAGGGCCGCUCUGUGUCUAUCCUGUGUGCUAUAUGCAACUGUCUCCCCUGAGGACAGUGCAGUAAUGGAACACUUGGGAAGGGGACCCCAUCGUAUGCCAAGCGGGGUAGAGCCACCGCUAGAACACCACNCGGAGGAUGGGCCAGCAUCGAACACAUCAUCAAGGAUGCCAAGAGCAGGCAGCACAGCAAUGGUGUGCUGCGGAUAGAAGUACCUCUUCUCAAUUCCUCCCAGACUGGAUGACGCAUCAGAAAACAGCUUUACAGCAGGCCUAUUCUACCAACUAGGAUGGAGACUGGAAGGCAUGCCUUUGGAGAGUUUAAAUUUGUUUCAACAACCCCAUGUGAAAUAAAGGUCUGGUUAGAUUAAUCAGUUUCUUGAGUCAAUGAAGAGAGCCAGUCAAAAUUAUUCUAACUCUGGAAGGGAUUUCUUACCUGAAUAAUCUACCUUAAUAGCCCAAUACAUCAAUUAACUGUAUAGUGAUCAUUAUCAAAUUACCGAUUUCACUUAGCUUAUGUGAUUUUAGUGCUAUGUAGACGCAAAUUCAAAUUUUGCAUAGAUGUAGGCUCCCUUUCUUCUGUACCUCCUUUAUGACGUGACUUUGUAUGCUUAUAAUUUUUAUUAUAAAUAAAUAUCUAUUCUAAAAAAAGUAAAUUCCUUNNNNNNNNNNNNNNNNNNNNNNNGUUGGGAAGAUCCGCUGGAGGAGGGCAUGGCAACCCACUCCAGUAUUCUUCUCUGGACAAUCUCAUGGACGGAGGAGCCUGGUGGGCUACAGUUCACAGGGUUGAAAAGAGUCGGACAGGACUGGAAUGACUUAGCACACAUCACAUGAUUCUUCAAAAAGGUU
rnacentral:lncRNA from 1 species